rnacentral:lncRNA from 1 species
GCUCAAUGUUUGUGACCGCCACUCUUCAUAAAUAGCUUUAGCUCGGGUUGACUGUGUACCCAUAGGCUUGUUUAUUAGGCUCAUACAGAUAAACUGGACAUCUCGCCGACCUAUAACCAUACAAAGAAGAUCCCUUGAUUCUGCUUCGGUCUAUCAUUCUUCUGUAAGGAAGUAAAAAAUCGGUUUGGUUAAGCAAUUGGUAGCCCCCGGAUGAACGGUAGAAUCCAUCCAUAGAUUCACUGAAAUAUACUCAUCAGGGCUAAAAAAAGAAAGACUAGUAGAAAGAAUAUCGAACCCCCUCGUAGAGGAUUCAAAAAAGAAAAAGAAGACACCUCGAGUCAGCGCAUAAAGAAUGGAAUGGUACAUUACCACCAUUAUUAGUUAGAAAUCAUACCAUUCACUGAAGCACAGGCCCGAGAUCGAGCGCCAGGGUCAAAGCCUUGAUGAC